GCAGUUCAGUGGCCUAAGGCUGAGGCACCACCCCUUGCCUGUCGGUUCAAAGGAUAGUCAUUUGUUGACUUUUCUUACGUGUGACAAUGCUGAAUUUCAGAUCCAAGCAUUUAAGAUAAUUCACAUUCUGAUAUAAGAGCACUGAUUAGAUGCAUAUAAGAAUAUAGUUAAGUAUGGUGACUAUAAACCCAGAUUUUUAGUUUUAAUCAAGCUUUUUAGUUGCCAUUUGUUAAUCUUUUGUGUUUAGUAAAAAAGUUGGUCUCGUUGCAAAAUACAAGUCGUUGAUUGCAAUAUUUAAGUGAAAUGUUUAAUGCAACGAUCGUGUCUAGUAAACAUUGCACGCUAUGCUAUGUUUCUGCGAGGGGAGGAGUUUAUUCGAAAUUUGAAGCUCGCUGUAAUUAGUGUCAACCUUCCUGUGGCUGCUGCGCCCUGAAACCAACAGACAGAGGACUUUUCAGGAAUGGAGGGCUUCUGGAGUGCGACUUCAUACAGGUGAAAGACUAAUGAACCAGCUGACAUCCACACACUGGUGCUCAGAGGACUUCCUCUUCUGCUUGGUGACAAGCCUACAGACUUCUACAAAACAUGCAUUGGUGAUGAUGGUGACUCGUUCCACCAAGUUGACAUUGGGAUCCUCAUUGUUGAACAUGAAGGUACCGAGCUGUUGCCUCCCCUCAAUUUCAGUCCAUCAUCCUUAAAGAUUGUCAUUGAGGGAGAAACUGUCAUGGACAGUCUUCAGGACUUGCCAAAGGCUGCAUGCAUCCUGUUUGGACUGAUGUAAGCAUUACACCUGAACUAUCCCAAGUCCAUGAGAAACACCUUCCACUUCAUCCAGCAGGUGCUCCUGAUGUUGGGGCAUACUGACCUGAAACCAGCUGACAGUUUAAAGGAAAAAUGUAUACAGGGCCAUAUCAGAAAACCUCAACUUGUACCUGUUUGGUCUACUUGUACUGAGGUGCAAAUAUUUGCAUUUCAGAUUUUGUGGACCGUUUUAAUGCCGUUCUUUUUUGUACAAUUUUGGCAAGUUGAUGUUGUUGCAGGCUAUUAUUUAGAA